rnacentral:rRNA from 1 species
AACGAACGCUGGCGGCAUGCCUAACACAUGCAAGUCGAACGAAGCCUCCGGGCUUAGUGGCGCACGGGUGCGUAACGCGUGGGAAUCUGCCCUUGGGCUCGGAAUAACAGUUAGAAAUGACUGCUAAUACUGGAUGAUGUCUUCGGACCAAAGAUUUAUCGCCCAAGGAUGAGCCCGCGUAGGAUUAGGUAGUUGGUGGGGUAAUGGCCCACCAAGCCGACGAUCCUUAGCUGUCCGAGAGGAUGAUCAGCCACACUGGGACUGAGACACGGCCCAGACUCCUACGGGAGGCAGCAGUGGGGAAUAUUGGACAAUGGGCGAAAGCCUGAUCCAGCAAUGCCGCGUGAGUGAUGAAGGCCUUAGGGUUGUAAAGCUCUUUUACCAGGGAUGAUAAUGACAGUACCUGGAGAAUAAGCUCCGGCUAACUCCGUGCCAGCCGCCGCCGUAAGAC